rnacentral:rRNA from 1 species
UCGCUAAUGUACCCCGGGGCUCGGGAUAGCCAGCCGAAAGGCUGGGUAACAACGAGUAACACCACGAGUAGGCAUCUACUUGUGCUCAUAGGGCAACCGCCCUGGGAUCAGGCGAUGUGGUAUCAGCUAGUUGGUGAGGUAAUGGCUCACCAAGGCUUCGACGCCUAGCCGGACUGAGAGGUCGGCCGGCCACAUCGGGACUGAGACACUGCCCGG